ACUUGUUAAAAUUGCUUGUUUUUCUGCUAUUGCACAAUGCUUCGUGAUCCUGAAUCCACUCUCGUGAUCGCAAAGGGGAAAAUUUGGGCUGACGCUGGUAUACUACGUGAACUCGAGAGGUGUAUCGUGAACAUAAGGUUCGGUGGAAUUGCCCUUCAUGAAUGCGUAAGCUUGGGGAUGUUUGGGGCGAUGACAAGUGGUCUUCAGUGCAAAUGCGUCCACUCGGACACGAGCAUGGAGGCUUGGCUAGGGAAUAGCCUUCGCAAGCAUGGAGCCUUCUAAUAGAGUUGAUAGUCAGCCAUAGUGAUCCGGGAGUCUCGUGUGGAAGGGCUCUCGCUCAAUGGAUCAAAGGUAUGCCGGGGAUAACAGUCUAAUGACUCCCAAGAGCUCUUAUCAAUGGAGUUGUUUGGCACCUCGAUGUCGACUAAUCAUGUCCUAGGGUUGAAGAAGGUCCCAAGGGUUCGACUGUUCGCCUAUUCAAGUGGUACAUGAGUUGGGUUUAGAAUGUUGUGAGACAGUUUGAUUCUUAUGUACCGUUGGUAUU
rnacentral:ncRNA from 1 species